rnacentral:rRNA from 1 species
UGAAAUCCCCCGGCCUUAACCUGGGAACUGCAUCUGAAACUGUUAGGCUAGAGUAGGUGAGAGAAGAAGUAGAAUUUCAGGUGUAGCGGUGAAAUGCGUAGAGAUCUGAAGGAAUACCGAUGGCGAAGGCAGCUUCCUGGCAUCAUACUGACACUGAGGCUCGAAAGCGUGGGUAGCAAACAGGAUUAGAUACCCUGGUAGUCCACGCCGUAAACGAUGUCUACUAGUCGUUGGGUCCCUUGAGGACUUAGUGACGCAGCUAACGCAAUAAGUAGACCGCCUGGGGAGUACGGCCGCAAGGUUAAAACUCAAAUGAAUUGACGGGGGCCCGCACAAGCGGUGGAGCAUGUGGUUUAAUUCGAUGCAACGCGAAGAACCUUACCUGGUCUUGACAUAUUUAGAAUCCUGCAGAGAUGCGGGAGUGCCUUCGGGAAUUAGAAUACAGGUGCUGCAUGGCUGUCGUCAGCUCGUGUCGUGAGAUGUUGGGUUAAGUCCCGCAACGAGCGCAACCCUUGUCCUUAGUUACCAGCGGGUUAAGCCGGGAACUCUAAGGAUACUGCCAGUGACAAACUGGAGGAAGGCGGGGACGACGUCAAGUCAUCAUGGCCCUUACGACCAGGGCUACACACGUGCUACAAUGGUAGGUACAGAGGGCAGCUACACAGCGAUGUGAUGCGAAUCUCAAAAAGCCUAUCGUAGUCCAGAUUGGAGUCUGCAACUCGACUCCAUGAAGUAGGAAUCGCUAGUAAUCGCGGAUCAGAAUGCCGCGGUGAAUACGUUCCCGGGCCUUGUACACACCGCCCGUCACACCACGGGAGUUGCUUUACCGAGAAAUCGAUAGUCUAACCUUCGUAGCAGNGUACCCACCUAGAGUGAUGACGU